rnacentral:rRNA from 1 species
UGGGGAAUAUUGGACAAUGGGCGAAAGCCUGAUCCAGCCAUGCCGCGUGUGUGAAGAAGGUCUUCGGAUUGUAAAGCACUUUAAGUUGGGAGGAAGGGCAUUAACCUAAUACGUUAGUGUUUUGACGUUACCGACAGAAUAAGCACCGGCUAACUCUGUGCCAGCAGCCGCGGUAAUACAGAGGGUGCAAGCGUUAAUCGGAAUUACUGGGCGUAAAGCGCGCGUAGGUCGUUUGUUAAGUUGGAUGUGAAAUCCCCGGGCUCAACCUGGGAACUGCAUUCAAAACUGACUGACUAGAGUAUGGUAGAGGGUGGUGGAAUUUCCUGUGUAGCGGUGAAAUGCGUAGAUAUAGGAAGGAACACCAGUGGCGAAGGCGACCACCUGGACUAAUACUGACACUGAGGUGCGAAAGCGUGGGGAGCAAACA